ensembl:lncRNA
CUGGGUCCCUAAGUGAGACCUUCGGGCUCGCAACCUUAUGUACCACAUAUGCAUCAGUCACUUCCCUCAUGAGAACUUUUCUAAAAUUGCCUGUCUUAUGCUUCCUCUCUCCACCAGUACUGUUCUAUAUUGGAUCCAGGGCACCCAGUAGAUACCCGAAUACUUUGAAAUGACUUUGCCUCCACCCUCAAGGCAACUCCCUAUGUGUGUUCAGCAGUCCACCAGAUACUCAGUGGAAGAAAUUAAAUCCAUGGUUGACUAUUCAUUUCUGGAGAGAUCCUGGAUGGAAUGAACUGGAUUCAAAGUUGGUUACUAUUUCUAGACUAAUAGCUCUGUCAGCUACUACACUCACAAUGAAGGUGAAAGACUUAAGAGUAACCCCAGUUCCUGGAAGUCUGGAUAUACAACUAAGGGGUAGAGUUAUUGUGUCCUGCAGCUGGCUGGCAAUAAAGAAGAAAAGCCUCUGCAUCAGCAGAAAAGCUUCCUGGCACCAGAAUCCACUAUCCACCAGGGAGGAAGACAAUCAAGGACAUCUAACCUGUGGAUUCCCUUAUGUCACCAUCCUCCUCCCUGCAAACAGUCUCACAAAGCCAAACGCAGGCUGGUGGGAAAGUGCCGACCAGCAAGGCCACAGGAUCCCCCUCCCUAUAAGCAGCCAUAUUCCUCACAACCUUUAAAACCCCUUAUCCACUUCUUAAUGGGGUGCCAGCAGUUCCUAAGGCACUAUCCUGCUGCUGCUCCCUUUGCCUAGCAAAAAAAAAAGUAAGAUUUUUUUUCUUUUCAUUUUCACCCAAAACUCUGUUCUCGUUAUUUGGAUUGGUACUGAGUUCAGAGACCGAACUUUCGGUAACAUAACUAGAAAGCUCAGGAGAAGCAUAAGUCCUGUAGAGGAUAACAGCACUAUAAUUACAAUUUUCAUUGGAGACCUGAUCUAGCUAUUUCAUUCUAAACUUCUGAUUCCAACUAGAAGAUAAAUCUUAAGUGGGCAAUAGAAACUUCUGGGCCAUACAUGAUGUCAUUCACUUCUCCAAAUAUAGGACUUUUAUAGGAAAUGCUUUCAUAUCACAUUUCUGGUCCUCUAAUACCUUAGAUCAGCCUCUCUAGAAUCAUGCCCUGUGAUGGGGAUUCUCCUUCAAGUGUUUUAUAAAGAUGAUGCUCUGAAAGAAAAGUGUUAGGGAAGAAAGGAAGUAGGACAGGGAGGGAAAAGAGCUAAGGAAGAAUGUGUUUUUGCUAGAAUGUAAUGUGAACCCAUCCACACAGGUAUUUCUGGAACACGAAUUUUACCAUUGAGUAAAUUUUAUGAUCAGACAAGAAGAAUGCCCUUUUGUUAGCCCUGCUCAGCAUCCCAGUAUCAAUCAGUCAUUGACUGUAGGCUGUUUUGGUGAGCAAUUGUUGGAGGGACGGAGGAGAAGGAUUAUAAAAUCAUCUAGCCUUGAAUGCUUACUCAAGUUGAUCCAAGGACAAUUCUCAAGAGUGCAGCUGUGAGCCAGCAGCAGCCUACCAUCAUGUCAGAUUAAAUGAAGAGGGGUAUAGCCAGCUAGGGGGAUGGGUGCACCAGGCCGCUAAAGGAAAUCUGGGACAGAGUCUCCUAUACUAAAUAAAUAUGGCAUGAUAUUCCUGUUAUGCUUAGCCACUUUUAAAGAGGAAACAAAAAUAAUAAAGGAAAAGAAAGAGC